UACGUAGGGCGCAAGCGUUAUCCGGAAUUAUUGGGCGUAAAGAGCUCGUAGGCGGUUUGUCGCGUCUGCCGUGAAAGUCCGGGCUCAACUCCGGAUCUGCGGUGGGUACGGGCAGACUAGAGUAUUGCAGGGGAGACUGGAAUUUACGGUGUAGCGGUGAAAUGCGUAGAUAUCAGGAGGAACACCUGUGGCGAAAGCGGCGCACUGGACCACAACUGACGCUGAGGCGCGAAAGCUAGGGGAGCAAACGGG
rnacentral:rRNA from 1 species